rnacentral:rRNA from 1 species
GGCGAACGCUGGCGGCAGGCUUAACACAUGCAAGUCGAGCGGGCAUCCUUGUGGUGUCAGCGGCAGACGGGUGAGUAACGCGUGGGAACGUGCCCUUCGGUUCGGAAUAACUCAGGGAAACUUGAGCUAAUACCGGAUACGCCCUUUUGGGGAAAGGUUUACUGCCGAAGGAUCGGCCCGCGUCUGAUUAGCUAGUUGGUGAGGUUAUGGCUCACCAAGGCGACGAUCAGUAGCUGGUCUGAGAGGAUGAUCAGCCACACUGGGACUGAGACACGGCCCAGACUCCUACGGGAGGCAGCAGUGGGGAAUAUUGGACAAUGGGGGCAACCCUGAUCCAGCCAUGCCGCGUGAGUGAUGACGGCCUUAGGGUUGUAAAGCUCUUUUCUCCGGGACGAUAAUGACGGUACCGGAGGAAUAAGCCCCGGCUAACUUCGUG